rnacentral:rRNA from 1 species
UACGGAGGGUGCAAGCGUUAAUCGGAAUUACUGGGCGUAAAGCGCACGCAGGCGGUUUGGUAAGUUAGAUGUUAAAGCCCCCGGCUCAACCUGGGAAUUGCAUUUAAAACUGUCCAGCUAGAGUCUUGUAGAGGGGGGUAGAAUUCCAGGUGUAGCGGUGAAAUGCGUAGAGAUCUGGAGGAAUACCGGUGGCGAAGGCGGCCCCCUGGACAAAGACUGACGCUCAGGUGCGAAAGCGUGGGGAGCAAACAGG